rnacentral:rRNA from 1 species
UACGACGGGGGCUAGCGUUGUUCGGAUUUACUGGGCGUAAAGCGCACGUAGGCGGAUCGUUAAGUCGGGGGUGAAAUCCUGGAGCUCAACUCCAGAACUGCCUUCGAUACUGGCGAUCUUGAGUCCGGAAGAGGUGAGUGGAACUCCUAGUGUAGAGGUGGAAUUCGUAGAUAUUAGGAAGAACACCAGUGGCGAAGGCGGCUCACUGGUCCGGUACUGACGCUGAGGUGCGAAAGCGUGGGGAGCAAACAGG